rnacentral:rRNA from 1 species
UACAGAGGGUGCGAGCGUUGUCCGGAAUCAUUGGGCGUAAAGCGCGUGUAGGCGGCCCGAUAAGUCCGCUGUGAAAGUCCAGGGCUCAACCCUGGGAUGCCGGUGGAUACUGUCGGGCUCGAGUCCGGAAGAGGCGAGUGGAAUUCCUGGUGUAGCGGUGAAAUGCGCAGAUAUCAGGAGGAACACCAAUGGCGAAGGCAGCUCGCUGGGACGUGACUGACGCUGAGACGCGAAAGCGUGGGAGCAAACAGG